rnacentral:rRNA from 1 species
GACGAACGCUGGCGGCGUGCUUAACACAUGCAAGUCGAACGGAAAGGCCCUGCUUUUGUGGGGUGCUCGAGUGGCGAACGGGUGAGUAACACGUGAGUAACCUGCCCUUGACUUUGGGAUAACUUCAGGAAACUGGGGCUAAUACCGGAUAGGAGCUCCUGCUGCAUGGUGGGGGUUGGAAAGUUUCGGCGGUUGGGGAUGGACUCGCGGCUUAUCAGCUUGUUGGUGGGGUAGUGGCUUACCAAGGCUUUGACGGGUAGCCGGCCUGAGAGGGUGACAGGCCACAUUGGGACUGAGAUAGGGCCCAGACUCCUACGGGAGGCAGCAGUGGGGAAGAUUGCACAAUGGGCGGAAGCCUGAUGCAGCAACGCCGCGUGCGGGAUGACGGCCUUCGGGUUGUAAACCGCUUUCGCCUGUGACGAAGCGUGAGUGACGGUAAUGGGUAAAGAAGCACCGGCUAACUACGUG